ensembl:lncRNA
CUCGGAUUGAAGCGUCGCGAGCUGCUGCUAUCGCUAGUUUGAACAAAAUGGCUGCAGAGGCACCACUAACGAAAGCCCGCUGAACGGUAGGAAUUAUCAUCGACGAUGUUUUAAUGGAUAUCUUGGAAAUACCCCCUCUCCAAAUAUUGGAUUUUGCAAGAAUUUGCUCUCUUGGAUUCCUCUAUUUGCGAACAUUUCACAGUCGCGUGCUGUAAAACAUAUAUUUUUUUGCACUUUAAAAAUGUCAGCUUAUCAAAGACAAGAGACUGUGUCAACCCUGAUGCCCCGAAGACCGGUGACUAAUAUGCAGUGCACUGUGCAGCGGCCUAAAGACCUAACUGACUCUGGAUCAGUGCUUAAGGGCCAAC